rnacentral:rRNA from 1 species
CCUACGGGCGGCAGCAGUGGGGAAUAUUGGACAAUGGGCGAAAGCCUGAUCCAGCCAUGCCGCGUGUGUGAAGAAGGCCUUCGGGUUGUAAAGCACUUUCAGUGGGGAAGAAAGCCUUGGGGCUAAUACCCUCGAGGAAGGACAUCACCCACAGAAGAAGCACCGGCUAACUCCGUGCCAGCAGCCGCGGUAAUACGGAGGGUGCGAGCGUUAAUCGGAAUUACUGGGCGUAAAGCGCGCGUAGGCGGUCUGAUAAGCCGGUUGUGAAAGCCCCGGGCUCAACCUGGGAACGGCAUCCGGAACGGGCAGGCAAGAGUGCGAGAGAGGACGGGGGAAUUCCCGGUGGAGCGGUGAAAUGCGUAGAGAUCGGGAGGAAAACCAGUGGCGAGGGCGGCAUUCUGGACUGACACUGACGCUGAGGUGCGAAAGCGUGGGUAGCAAACAGGAUUAGAUACACGAGUAGUC